CUGCAUUCGAGUCCUUACCAGUCCCUGAUGAUCUUCCCCAGUUGCCCCCAUUUUGGUCGAGGAAGCCUUUAGCUCUUACGAAUGUUGAGUGGUUGAUAAAAAAUGCUUUUGCGGGUCCGAUUCUCCCUCUACCUUUGUUGAUUACAGUGGACAAAUUACAAAAGGAGGAAGUUGGUAAAUCAACUGUUGAUGCACAACUUGACA
rnacentral:lncRNA from 1 species